rnacentral:rRNA from 1 species
CGUGCGAUGGUUGUCGUCAGCUCGUGCCGUGAGGUGUCGGGUUAAGUCCCAUAACGAGCGCAACCCUUAUCGUUAGUUGCCAGCUGGUAAAGCAGGGGACUCUAGCGAAACUGCCACCGUAAGGUGAGAGGAAGGUGGGGAUGAACGUCAAAUCAGCAGGCCCUUAUGUCCAGGGCUACACACGUGUUACAAUGGCCGGCACAGAGGGCAGCUACCUGGUGACAGGAUGCUAAGUCUCGAAAACCGGUCUCAGUUCGGAUUGUAGGCUGCAACUCGCCUGCAUGAAGUCGGAGUUGCUAGUAAUCGCAGAUCAGAAUGCUGCGGUGAAUGCGUUCCCGGGUCUU